rnacentral:lncRNA from 1 species
CUUCUGAUGUUCGGAUGUGUUCGGAGUUUCUUCCUUCUGGUGGGUUCGUGGUCUCGCUGGCUCGGGAGUGAAGCUGCAGACGUUUGCGGAACUCGUGAGUUAUGACAAAAAGAUAUUAUGACUCCCAUGCAGCGGAUGAAGACAUUGAUGCCCAUGAAAGGAGAUUCACAAGCCUCCCUCCCAGAUUCAGGGAAGGAGAUGCAGCCCCCACCCCUUGACUGGAGGAGGACCAAGGUCACCUUGCAGAGCACCGUGAGAUGUGGAAGAUGCCAGAACUGUCUGUGGGAAAUGGGAUUUGUACUUGGCUUGUCUGCCUCUUGCAACCAGAGUCCUGGUUCUCAGGGCCUCACCUGUGCAUCUCUUGUUGAGCACAGAGGAGGCACUCGGCAUAAAUGAAGAGGAUGCUUGCUGAGCUGGCUGGCCCAUCCUCUCUUCUUUCCCUUGUUUUUCUAUUUUAUCUUUCAAAGCAGUGUUUCAAGUGUUUAUAAACUAAUCUAUGUAUAAAAUAUUAUGUGGCAUAAGAUUUGCAAAAUAUUAAAGAUUUAAAGAAUCAAAUAAAAUAUUUGUAUGAUACCAC